GACGAACGCUGGCGGCGUGCCUAAUACAUGCAAGUAGGACGCAGUUGCGAACGGGUGAGUAACGCGUAGGUAACUACCUAUUAGAGGGGGAUAACUAUUGGAAACGAUAGCUAAUACCGCAUACUCGUCGUAGGAACUGCGUUGUAUUAGCUAGUAGGUAGGGUAAUGGGCUACCAAGGCAACGAGACAUAGCCGACCCGGGAGGGUGAUCUGCCACACUGGGACUGGGACACCGCCCAGAAUCCUACGGGAGGCAGCAGUAGGGAAUCUUUGGCAAUGGGGGGAACCCUGACCGAGCAACGCCGCGUGAGUGAAGAAGGUUUUCGGAUCGUAAAGCUCUGUUGUGAAGGAAGCGGUACUUAACCAGAAAGGGACGGCUAACUCCGUGCCAGCCGCCGCGGUAAUAC
rnacentral:rRNA from 1 species